GUUCCAGUAAGGGGUUUAAUAGCAGUGUGAGGUGAGGUGGUAGCAGGGAGGAGACAGUGGACUGGCUAGGUGGUAAUAGCAGUGUGAGGUGAUUGGCUAGGUGGUAAUAGCAGUGUGAGGUGAUUGGCUAGGUGGUAAUAGCAGUGUGAGGUGAUUGGCUAGGUGGUAAUAGCAGUGUGAGGUGAUUGGCUAGGUGGUAAUAGCAGUGUGAGGUGAUUGGCUAGGUGGUAAUAGCAGUGUGAGGUGAUUGGCUAGGUGGUAAUAGCAGUGUGAGGUGAGGUGGUAGCAGGGAGGAGACAGUGAGAGGUGAUUGGCUAGGUCCUCCUGGCGAUGUGGUGGGAGAAGACAGUGAGAGGUGAUUGGCUAGGUCCUCCUGGUGAUGUGGUCAUAGAUGACGACCUGGCUGUAGAGUUCAGACUGGAGGGGCG